rnacentral:misc_RNA from 1 species
AAAAAAAAAAAAAGGAAAUCAUAAAAAACUUCUGAAGUAUAUAAUUUACAGAAUUUGCAGAUAAGACAGAAGAAAACUUGCAGAAUAUAUGACAGAAGAUAAGCUCCCACAACAACCCAGAGAUGAAAAUAAAAAAAAAAAUCACUAAAAUCGAGGCAGGAAGCCGGAGAAGAGACGAUUAGACAAAAGGAAGAAUAAUUUUGAGAGAUGGUGGUAU